rnacentral:rRNA from 1 species
GACGAACGCUGGCGGCGUGCCUAAUACAUGCAAGUCGAGCGAGACUCUUCGGAGUCUAGCGGCGGACGGGUGAGUAACACGUGGGCAACCUGCCUGUAAGACUGGGAUAACACCGGGAAACCGGUGCUAAUACCGGAUAAUCCUUUUUCUCUCAUGAGGGAAAGCUGAAAGCCGGUUUCGGCUGACACUUACAGAUGGGCCCGCGGCGCAUUAGCUAGUUGGUGAGGUAACGGCUCACCAAGGCGACGAUGCGUAGCCGACCUGAGAGGGUGAUCGGCCACCCUGGGACUGGGACACGGCCCAGACUCCUACGGGAGGCAGCAGUAGGGAAUCUUCCACAAUGGACGAAAGUCUGAUGGAGCAACGCCGCGUGAGCGAUGAGGGCCUUCGGGUCGUAAAGCUCUGUUGUUAGGGAAGAACAAGUACCGGAGUAACUGCCGGUACCUUGACGGUACCUAACCAGAAAGCCACGGCUAACUACGUGCCAGCCGCCGCCGUAACAC